ACUUUUUGUAAUUUUCAAUCACUAUUAGGAUUAUGCAAUUCAAACCGAUACAUGCCAUUUAAACUUGAUUCAAAGUUGAAGACAAUGUUCGGUACGUCAUCUCCUUUCCUUACAUCUUCGUCCUUCUAGAUUUCAUUAUCAAAACCUAAUCAACAGAUCACAAACUCGUGUCCUAACUCCCUCAGCAAUCACAUCUCUACUAAACGAAGAUUAUCACAAGGAAUCUCAUAAUUUCUAUCACCAUUGUCGCAGACAGCAUCACGCCAACGAUUUCCUCUUGCUUGUUCUUAGAUCGCCCUUCGGCCGUUUGCUUCGCCAGUUCGUUAGCUUUGCCUCUGCAAGCGUUGCAGGUGCCUGGAACGUUUUGACGAUUGUUUGUAUUCAUUAAGACAAUGCUGAUCUCUCUCGUUCAUUUCGA
rnacentral:lncRNA from 1 species